rnacentral:rRNA from 1 species
GACGAACGCUGGCGGCGUGCUUAACACAUGCAAGUCGAACGGAAAGGCCCUGCUUUUGUGGGGUGCUCGAGUGGCGAACGGGUGAGUAACACGUGAGUAACCUGCCCUUGACUUUGGGAUAACUUCAGGAAGCUGGGGCUAAUACCGGAUAGGAGCUCCUGCUGCAUGGUGGGGGUUGGAAAGUUUCGGCGGUUGGGGAUGGACUCGCGGCUUAUCAGCUUGUUGGUGGGGUAGUGGCUUACCAAGGCUUUGACGGGUAGCCGGCCUGAGAGGGUGACCGGCCACAUUGGGACUGAGAGACGGCCCAGACUCCUACGGGAGGCAGCAGUGGGGAAUAUUGCAGAGUGGGCGGAAGCCUGAUGCAGCAACGCCGCGUGCGGGAUGACGGGCUUCGGGGUGUGAACCGCUUUCGCCUGUGACGAAGAGUGAGUGACGGUAAUUGGUAAAGAAGCACCGGCUAACUACGUG